GAUGAACGCUGGCGGCGUGCCUAAUACAUGCAAGUCGAGCGAAUGGAUUAAGAGCUUGCUCUUAUGAAGUUAGCGGCGGACGGGUGAGUAACACGUGAGUAACCUGCCCAUAAGACUGGGAUAACUCCGGGAAACCGGGGCUAAUACCGGACAACAUUUUGAACCGCAUGGUUCGAAAUUGAAAGGCGGCUUCGGCUGUCACUUAUGGAUGGACCCGCGUCGCAUUAGCUAGUUGGUGAGGUAACGGCUCACCAAGGCAACGAUGCGUAGCCGACCUGAGAGGGUGAUCGGCCACACUGGGACUGAGACACGGCCCAGACUCCUACGGGAGGCAGCAGUAGGGAAUCUUCCGCAAUGGACGAAAGUCUGACGGAGCAACGCCGCGUGAGUGAUGAAGGCUUUCGGGUCGUAAAACUCUGUUGUAGGGAAGAACAAGUGCUAGUUGAAUAAGCUGGCACCUUGACGGUACCUAACCAGAAAGCCACGGCUAACUACGUGCCAGCCGCCGCAGUAA
rnacentral:rRNA from 1 species